rnacentral:rRNA from 1 species
AUACGGAGGAUCCGAGCGUUAUCCGGAUUUAUUGGGUUUAAAGGGAGCGUAGGCGGACUAUUAAGUCAGCUGUGAAAGUUUGCGGCUCAACCGUAAAAUUGCAGUUGAUACUGGUCGUCUUGAGUGCAGUAGAGGUAGGCGGAAUUCGUGGUGUAGCGGUGAAAUGCUUAGAUAUCACGAAGAACUCCGAUUGCGAAGGCAGCUUACUGGACUGUUACUGACACUGAUGCUCGAAAGUGUGGGUAUCAAACAGGAUUAGAUACCCUGGUAGUCCACACAGUAAACGAUGAACACUCGCUGUUUGCGAUAUACAGUAAGCGGCCAAGCGAAAGCAUUAAGUAUUCCACCUGGGGAGUACGCCGGCAACGGUGAAACUCAAAUGAAUUGACGGGG